rnacentral:vault_RNA from 1 species
GGGCAGGCUUAGCCAUGAGGAUACUUCGUAAACAAAUCAAGAAUUAGACUUCUUUAUCCUUGGCGAGAAGUCGAGAACCUCGGAUGAAUCCACUAGCACUGUCCUGUCUUUUG